ACACAUGCAAGUCGAACGAGAAUCUACUGAAAGAGUUUUCGGACAAUGGAUGUAGAGGAAAGUGGCGGACGGGUGAGUAACGCGUGAGGAACCUGCCUUGAAGAGGGGGACAACAGUUGGAAACGACUGCUAAUACCGCAUGACGCAUAGAGGUCGCAUGAUCUUUAUGCCAAAGAUUUAUCGCUUCAAGAUGGCCUCGCGUCUGAUUAGCUAGUUGGCGGGGUAACGGCCCACCAAGGCGACGAUCAGUAGCCGGACUGAGAGGUUGAACGGCCACAUUGGGACUGAGAUACGGCCCAGACUCCUACGGGAGGCAGCAGUGGGGAAUAUUGGGCAAUGGGCGCAAGCCUGACCCAGCAACGCCGCGUGAAGGAAGAAGGCUUUCGGGUUGUAAACUUCUUUUAAGAGGGAAGAGCAGAAGACGGUACCUCUAGAAUAAGCCACGGCUAACUACGUGCCAGCAGCCGCGGUAAUACGUAGGUGGCAAGCGUUGUCCGGAUUUACUGGGUGUAAAGGGCGUGCAGCCGGGUCUGCAAGUCAGAUGUGAAAUCCAUGGGCUCAACCCAUGAACUGCAUUUGAAACUGUAGAUCUUGAGUGUCGGAGGGGCAAUCGGAAUUCCUAGUGUAGCGGUGAAAUGCGUAGAUAUUAGGAGGAACACCAGUGGCGAAGGCGGAUUGCUGGACGAUAACUGACGGUGAGGCGCGAAAGUGUGGGGAGCAAACAGGAUUAGAUACCCUGGUAGUCCACACUGUAAACGAUGAAUACUAGGUGUGCGGGGACUGACCCCCUGCGUGCCGCAGUAAACACAAUAAGUAUUCCACCUGGGGAGUACGAUCGCAAGGUUGAAACUCAAAGGAAUUGACGGGGGCCCGCACAAGCGGUGGAUUAUGUGGUU
rnacentral:rRNA from 1 species